rnacentral:rRNA from 1 species
GACGAACCACACGAACGUUAUUCGGAAUUACUGGGCUUAAAGCGCGUGUAGGCGGUCCGGUAAGUCCGCUGUGAAAGUCGGGGGCUCAACCCUCGGAUGCCGGUGGAUACUGUCGGGCUUGAGUACGGAAGAGGCGAGUGGAAUUCCUGGUGUAGCGGUGAAAUGCGCAGAUAUCAGGAGGAACACCAAUUGCGAAGGCAGCUCGCUGGGACGUUACUGACGCUGAGACGCGAAAGCGUGGGGAGCAAACAGG